rnacentral:rRNA from 1 species
AUUGAACGCUGGCGGCAGGCCUAACACAUGCAAGUCGAACGAGUGGCGGACGGGUGAGUAAUGUCUGGGAAACUGCCCGAUGGAGGGGGAUAACUACUGGAAACGGUAGCUAAUACCGCAUACCAUCGGAUGUGCCCAGAUGGGAUUAGCUAGUAGGUGGGGUAAAGGCUCACCUAGGCGACGAUCCCUAGCUGGUCUGAGAGGAUGACCCGCCACACGUGGACUGAGAGACGGUCCAGACUCCUACGGGAGGCAGCAGUGGGGAAUAUUGCACAAUGUGCGCAGGCCUGAUGGAGCCAUGCCGCGUGUAUGAAGAAGGCCUUCGGGUUGUAAAGUACUUUCAGCGGUGAGGCGUUUCCCGCUGAAGAAGCACCGGCUAACUCCGUGCCAGCAGCCGCGGUAAUUC